AGUGAACGCUGGCGGUAGGCCUAACACAUGCAAGUCGAACGGCAGCACAGUAAGAGCUUGCUCUUACGGGUGGCGAGUGGCGGACGGGUGAGGAAUACAUCGGACUCUACUUUUUCGGGGGGGAUAACGUAGGGAAACUUACGCUAAUACCGCAUACGACCUACGGGUGAAAGCAGGGGAUCUUCGGACCUUGCGCGAUUGAAUGAGCCGAUGUCGGGUUAGCUAGUUGGCGGGGUAAAGGCCAACCAAGGCGACGAUCCGUAGCUGGUCUGAGAGGAUGAUCAGCGGCACUGGAACUGAGACACGGUCCAGAGGCCUACGGGAGGCAGCAGUGGGGAAUAUGGGACAAUGGGCGCAAGCCUGAUCCAGCCAUACCGCGUGGGUGAAGAAGGCCUUCGGGUUGUAAAGCCCUUUUGUUGGGAAAGAAAAGCAGCAGGUUAAGACCCCGCUGUUCUGACGGUACCCAAAGAAGAAGCACCGGCUAACUUCGUG
rnacentral:rRNA from 1 species